ncrna:unclassified sequences Hairpin-meta2 ribozyme sequence
UAAACGGGUAUUUGGUGCCCGGUGCUGUCCGAUGGAACCAGGCGUUUGGUACUGGAGGGGUGGACAGUCUGCAUCCAUAGGCGACUGGGGUAAGUCCUAGGGCGAGGGGCGAAAGCUCCAGGGUAGCUCCCAUCUGAGUACGUCGCAAGUCCACGUUCCAACCCGGAGAAUGGGGUGAAACUCCUCUGAAAUCCGGUGUCGAUUCAUCCAUCGGGAAGCACAAACUUGCAGAAACACACAGAGAUUAGACGCCUCUGUGGUAUAUUAUUGCUUGA